rnacentral:rRNA from 1 species
AGUGAACGCUGGCGGCGUGCUUAACACAUGCAAGUCGAACGAGAACGGAUUAUAGCUUGCUAUAAUUGUCAGCUAAGUGGCGCACGGGUGAGUAAUGUAUAGGUAAUAUGCCUCUUACUAAGGGAUAACAAAUGGAAACGUUUGCUAAUACCUUAUACUCCUUAUUAACAGAAGUUAAUAAGGGAAAGAUUUAUUGGUAAGAGAUUAGCCUGUAUUGUAUCAGUUAGUUGGUGGGGUAAUGGCUUACCAAGACUAUGACACAUAACUGGUUUGAGAGGAUGAUCAGUCACACUGGAACUAAGACACGGUCCAGACUCCUACGGGAGGCAGGAGUGGGGAAUAUUGCAAAAUGGACGAAAGUCUGAUGCAGCAACGCCGCGUGGAGGAUGACACAUUUCGGUGCGUAAACUCCUUUUAUAUGAGAAGAUAAUGACGGUAUUAUAUGAAUAAGCACCGGCUAACUCCGUGCCAGCCGCCGCCGUAA